AUGAACGCUAGCUACAGGCUUAACACAUGCAAGUCGAGGGGCAGCAUUUUAGUUUGCUUGCAAACUGAAGAUGGCGACCGGCGCACGGGUGAGUAACACGUAUCCAACCUGCCGAUAACUCCGGAAUAGCCUUUCGAAAGAAAGAUUAAUACCGGAUGGCAUACGAAUAUCGCAUGAUAUUUUUAUUAAAGAAUUUCGGUUAUCGAUGGGGAUGCGUUCCAUUAGUUUGUUGGCGGGGUAACGGCCCACCAAGACUACGAUGGAUAGGGGUUCUGAGAGGAAGGUCCCCCACAUUGGAACUGAGACACGGUCCAAACUCCUACGGGAGGCAGCAGUGAGGAAUAUUGGUCAAUGGGCGCGAGCCUGAACCAGCCAAGUAGCGUGAAGGAUGAAGGCUCUAUGGGUCGUAAACUUCUUUUAUAUGGGAAUAAAGUUUUCCACGUGUGGAAUUUUGUAUGUACCAUAUGAAUAAGGAUCGGCUAACUCCGUGCCAGCAGCCGCGGUAAUACGGAGGAUCCGAGCGUUAUCCGGAUUUAUUGGGUUUAAAGGGAGCGUAGGUGGAUUGUUAAGUCAGUUGUGAAAGUUUGCGGCUCAACCGUAAAAUUGCAGUUGAAACUGGCAGUCUUGAGUACAGUAGAGGUGGGCGGAAUUCGUGGUGUAGCGGUGAAAUGCUUAGAUAUCACGAAGAACUCCGAUUGCGAAGGCAGCUCACUAGACUGUCACUGACACUGAUGCUCGAAAGUGUGGGUAUCAAACAGGAUUAGAUACCCUGGUAGUCCACACAGUAAACGAUGAAUACUCGCUGUUUGCGAUAUACAGUAAGCGGCCAAGCGAAAGCAUUAAGUAUUCCACCUGGGGAGUACGCCGGCAACGGUGAAACUCAAAGGAAUUGACGGGGGCCCGCACAAGCGGAGGAACAUGUGGUUUAAUUCGAUGAUACGCGAGGAACCUUACCCGGGCUUAAAUUGCAACAGAAUAUAUUGGAAACAGUAUAGCCGUAAGGCUGUUGUGAAGGUGCUGCAUGGUUGUCGUCAGCUCGUGCCGUGAGGUGUCGUCUUAAGUGCCAUAACGAGCGCAACCCUUCUCUUUAGUUACUAACAGGUCAUGCUUAGGAUGCUAGAGAGACUGCCGUCGUAAGAUGUGAGGAAGGUGGGGAUGACGUCAAAUCAUCAUGCCCCUUAUGACCAGGGCUACACACGUGCUACAAUGGCGUAAACAAAGAGAAGCGAAGUCGUGAGGCAGAGCGAAUCUCAAAAAUAACGUCUCAGUUCGGAUUGUAGUCUGCAACUCGACUACAUGAAGCUGGAAUCGCUAGUAAUCGCGAAUCAGAAUGUCGCGGUGAAUACGUUCCCGGGUCUUGUACACACCGCCCGUCACACCAUGGGAGUCAGUAACGCCCGAAGUCAGUGACCCAACCGUAAGGAGGGAGCUGCCGAAGGCGGGACCGAUAACUGGGGUG
rnacentral:rRNA from 1 species